GUGCCCGUAGCUCAGUCGGAUAGAGCGAUAGCCUCCUAAGCUGUAGGCCGCAGGUUCGAUUCCUGCCGGGCACGCCA
rnacentral:tRNA from 1 species